UCCUACGGGAGGCAGCAGUAGGGAAUAUUGGGCAAUGGACGCAAGUCUGACCCAGCCACGCCGCGUGAAGGACGACUGCCCUAUGGGUUGUAAACUUCUUUUAUAUGGGAAGAAACCCCCGAACGUGUUCGGGGCUGACGGUACCAUAAGAAUAAGCAUCGGCUAACUCCGUGCCAGCAG
rnacentral:rRNA from 1 species